AGUGAACGCUGGCGGUAGGCCUAACACAUGCAAGUCGAACGGCAGCACAGUAAGAGCUUGCUCUUACGGGUGGCGAGUGGCGGACGGGUGAGGAAUACAUCGGAAUCUACUUUUUCGUGGGGGAUAACGUAGGGAAACUUACGCUAAUACCGCAUACGACCUACGGGCGAAAGCAGGGGAUCUUCGGACCUUGCGCGAUUGAAUGAGCCGAUGUCGGAUUAGCUAGUUGGCGGGGUAAAGGCCCACCAAGGCGACGAUCCGUAGCUGGUCUGAGAGGAUGAUCAGCCACACUGGAACUGAGACACGGUCCAGACUCCUACGGGAGGCAGCAGUGGGGAAUAUUGGACAAUGGGCGCAAGCCUGAUCCAGCCAUACCGCGUGGGUGAAGAAGGCCUUCGGGUUGUAAAGCCCUUUUGUUGGGAAAGAAAAGCAGCAGGUUAAUACCCCGCUGUUCUGACGGUACCCAAAGAAUAAGCACCAGCUAACUUCGUG
rnacentral:rRNA from 1 species